rnacentral:rRNA from 1 species
UACGGAGGAUGCAAGUGUUAUCCGGAAUCACUGGGCGUAAAGCGUCUGUAGGUGGUUUGCUAAGUCCGCUGUUAAAGCUUGAAGCUCAACUUCGAAAAUGCAGUGGAAACUAGUAGACUUGAGUGUGGUAGGGGUAGAGGGAAUUUCCAGUGAAGUGGUGAAAUGCGUAGAUAUUGGAAAGACCACCAAUGGCGAAAGCGCUCUACUGGGCCAUAACUGACACUGAGGGACGAAAGCUAGGGGAGCGAAAGGG